rnacentral:lncRNA from 1 species
CUCACAUUCAUUCCCACAGUCCCACCACUGCUGUCCCUUAGCCAGUUCUACAUUGUGAGCAACCCUAUGGAGAAGCCCUUAAGUUGCUGAAGCCUCCAGCCAACAGCCAUGUCGCUGAUUUUGGAAGGCGAUUUUGGAAGCUUAUCUCCCAGACCAAAUCAAGCCUCAGGUGACUGCAGCCCCAGCUGAAACAUUGAUUGCAUUCUUAUGAGAAACCCUAAAACCAGAGCCAUCAGCUCCCAAAUUCCUGACCCACAGAAACUGUGAAAUAAUAAUGUUUGUUGUUUUAACCUGUUCAUUUUUGGAGGUAAUUUGUUACCCGGCAUUAGGUAAUGAAUAUACUGGCCAAUUACCACAUGUAUCGAUUCAUUUAUUUAUUCAUUCAGUAGGCAUUGAAUGACAACUUUGCCAGGGACUGUGCUAGAUGCUAGGGAUACCAAGACAAAUAAAGCAAGGUCCCUGCCUUCAAAGAACUCACAGUCUAGGAGAGUGAGAUGGACACGGAGUCAGAGAACACUGAAGGUUGGUUUAUGAGCAGCAGGCAUACAAAGGAGGAAGCUGGAGUGGAAGGAGCCGUAAAAUUGACAAAGUGGUCUCUAAUAUAACCCUCCCCAGACACACAUACAAAUACAACACUUUCUUCCUAACUUUCACUUAGCUUAGCUGUAGACAGUUCCAGCAAACCUUGUUUAGCACUGCUCCGUGCUACAUUGACUCCUUAUGGAGCUGGCUGACCACUGUGGAAGAGAGAGCACUAUCCUACAUUCUCAGCCCUUGGCUGUGGGCAUCCCAUGAUCAACGUGACUCAGUUUGAGUGACUCUUGCCAGUCUGUCAGUUUUCUUUCCUCUUCCCUGGUCUCUCUGUCAUUAACACCCUAUUACCUA